CCCUAAUUUCACUUCCUGCUUAACCUCAUUUGUUUGCAGUUGAAAACUUGAAGGAGGCGACACAGUGCGCCGCUUCCAGAUCUUCGAAACCGAGUCACUGACUCGGCCGCUGCUGAGUCGUUUAGUUUGAGGCCACUGAAUAAUAUUCAACAGAGUAAAACAUAAACUUAAAAAGUAUGGUGCAGUACAACUUUAAGAGAAUCACAAUUGUCCCCACUGGGAAGGACUUUGUUGAUAUCAUCCUUUCUCGCACACAACGUCAAACACCGACCGUUGUUCACAAAGGUUAUGCUAUUACUCGCAUCCGUGAGUUUUACAUGCGGAAAGUGAAGUACACACAGCAGAACUUUCACGACAAGCUUUCUACCAUCAUUGAGGAGUUCCCUCGGCUUGAUGAUAUCCAUCCUUUCUAUGGUGAUCUUCUUCAUGUUCUCUACAACAAAGACCAUUACAAGCUUGCCCUUGGCCAAAUUAAUACUGCAAGGAAUCUCAUUGGUAAGAUUGCAAAGGACUAUUUGAAAUUGUUAAAAUAUGGUGACUCACUUUACCGAUGCAAGGCUCUGAAAGUUGCUGCUCUUGGCCGCAUGUGUACUGUGACAAAGCGCAUUGGCCCUAGUUUGGCUUAUCUUGAAGAGAUCAGGAAACACAUGGCUAGGCUACCAUCAAUUGACCCAAAUACCCGGACGGUCUUGAUUUGUGGGUACCCAAAUGUAGGCAAGAGCUCAUUCAUUAACAAAAUCACCAGGGCAGAUGUGGAUGUUCAGCCAUAUGCUUUCACUACAAAGUCACUGUUUGUUGGUCAUACAGACUAUAAAUACCUUAGGUAUCAAGUGAUUGAUACACCAGGGAUUUUGGAUAGGCCAUUUGAAGAUCGUAAUAUCAUUGAGAUGUGCAGUAUCACAGCUCUAGCACAUCUAAGAGCUGCUGUGUUGUUCUUCUUGGACAUUUCUGGUUCAUGUGGGUACAGCAUUGCUCAACAGGCAGCUCUUUUUCACAGCAUCAAGUCUCUAUUUAUGAACAAACCGCUGAUUAUCGUCUGCAACAAAAUUGAUAUGCAGCCUUUGGAUGGGAUAUCCGAGGAAGACAAGAAGUUGGUCAUGGAAAUGAAAGCUGAAGCUAUGAAGACUGUGAUAGGUCAAGGAGGGGAACCUACAGGUGAUGAAGGAGUGCUCUUGACAAUGAGCACUUUGACCGAGGAGGGGGUAAUUGCCGUGAAAAAUGCAGCUUGUGAGAGGUUACUAAAUCAGAGGGUGGAACUAAAAAUGAAGUCUAAAAAGAUAAAUGACUGUCUGAAUCGCUUUCAUGUUGCAAUGCCAAAGCCACGUGACCAGAAAGAAAGGCCACCAUGUAUUCCCCAGGCAGUCUUGGAAGCUAAAGCUAGGGAAGCAGAGAAAGAGAAGAGGAAGCUCGAAAGGGAUUUGGAGGAUGAGAAUGGUGGUGCAGGUGUAUACUCCGCUAGUUUGAGGAAGCAUUAUAUCUUAUUACACGAUGAAUGGAAGGAAGAUGUAAUGCCAGAAAUUCUUGAUGGGCACAAUGUCUAUGACUUUGUUGAUCCUGAUAUUGUACAAAGGCUUGAGGAGUUGGAGCAAGAAGAAGGUUAUCGGCAGGAGCAGGAGGGAGAUGAUGAUUUUGAGAUGGAUGAUAAGGAAUUGACCCUCGAAGAGCAAGAAACACUGAAUGAGAUCCGGAAAAAGAAGAGCUUGCUUAUUCAACAACAUAGGAUCAAGAAAAGCACUGCGGAAAGUCGGCCAACUGUACCAAGAAAAUUUGACAAAGAGAGGAAGUUCACAUCAGAGAGAAUGGGAAGACAAUUAUCAAAUUUGGGGCUUGAUCCGACUUUGGCAAUCAACCGAGCUCGUAGCAAGUCAAGGGGUCGUAAGAGGGAGAGAUCAGUUGACCGGGAAGCUAAUGGUCGCGGUGACACCAUGGAUGUUGAUGUUGGCCAUUCUAAUAAGAAAAUGCGGAUGAGGUCUAGAUCUGUUUCAAGGUCUAGGUCACAGCCACAAGAUAUGGUUGUCGCUAGAGCGAGUUUCAAAGACACUGCUCAAUUUGAUAAGGCUGUAAAACUGGCUAAGAACUCCAACAAGAAGAGGAACAAGGACGCUCGGCGGGGAGAGGCCGAUAGAGUCAUUCCUACUUUGAGACCAAAGCACUUGUUCUCUGGGAAGCGCACCCUUGGGAAAACCAGCAGACGCUAAUAAAGUUAUCAAGGUAUAUCUUACACUGUUCAUUCGACAAACACUUGCAGGAAAGCUUGAUAUUGCUGUUGAGAGAGCUUGCAUCGAAUAUUUUGUUCUUUGAAUUUUGUAGACGUGACCGGAGAUUGUGACCAGACAUCAGAUGAGCCUCCUGUUAAGUUUCUGUCCAUGCAAUUUGAUACUAAGACCUCCUAAUGUUACAAUUUCAGUACGUUUGGUAUUCCAAGUUGUAGCAUAUUAUCUUUUGCUUAUUUUCGUUUUUGUUUUAAAAUUUGUGUUUGUGGAGAGCAAAUGUUUUUGGUUAUGCUUACCAUGCUUUUCGAAGUGAAAUGAAUUUUUUUGACAAAUCUUUCAAUUUACUGUCAAUAAGGACAGUUCAAUUCAUGCUCUAGGGUUCUCUUUA